CCUACGGGAGGCAGCAGUGAGGAAUAUUGGUCAAUGGGCGCGAGCCUGAACCAGCCAAGUCGCGUGAGGGAAGACGGUCCUAUGGAUUGUAAACCUCUUUUGUCGGGGAGCAAAAGACGCCACGCGUGGCGUUCCGAGAGUACCCGAAGAAAAAGCAUCGGCUAACUCCGGGCCAGCAGCCGCGGUAAUACGGAGGAUGCGAGCGUUAUCCGGAUUUAUUGGGUUUAAAGGGUGCGCAGGCGGAAGAUCAAGUCAGCGGUAAAAUUGAGAGGCUCAACCUCUUCGAGCCGUUGAAACUGGUUGUCUUGAGUGAGCGAGAAGUAUGCGGAAUGCGUGGUGUAGCGGUGAAAUGCAUAGAUAUCACGCAGAACCCCGAUUGCGAAGGCAGCAUGCCGGCUUCCGACUGACGCUGAAGCACGAAAGCGUGGGGAUCGAACAGGAUUAGAUACCCGAGUAGUC
rnacentral:rRNA from 1 species